GAUGAACGCUGGCGGCGUGCCUAAUACAUGCAAGUCGAGCGAACGGACGAGAAGCUUGCUUCUCUGAUGUUAGCGGCGGACGGGUGAGUAACACGUGGAUAACCUACCUAUAAGACUGGGAUGACUUCGGGAAACCGGAGCUAAUACCGGAUAAUAUUUUGAACCGCAUGGUUCAAAAGUGAAAGACGGUCUUGCUGUCACUUAUAGAUGGAUCCGCGCUGCAUUAGCUAGUUGGUAAGGUAACGGCUUACCAAGGCAACGAUGCAUAGCCGACCUGAGAGGGUGAUCGGCCACACUGGAGCUGAGACACGGUCCAGACUCCUACGGGAGGCAGCAGUAGGGAAUCUUCCGCAAUGGGCGAAAGCCUGACGGAGCAACGCCGCGUGAGUGAUGAAGGUCUUCGGAUCGUAAAACUCUGUUAUUAGGGAAGAACAUAUGUGUAAGUAACUGUGCACAUCUUGACGGUACCUAAUCAGAAAGCCACGGCUAACUACGUG
rnacentral:rRNA from 1 species